AAAAUACCCCUUUUAUUACAGUGCUUUAUUUUAUGAACAUACCACCAUUAUCCUGCUGAAAGAAAAGCUAUAUUCAUCAUUUUUUUUAUUUUGCCUUUCUGAGGGUAAACUAAUGAUAGGUUGACAUGGACAAUU
ensembl:snoRNA